UGAUCAGAGGCGCCAAGGAAAAGAAUC
rnacentral:piRNA from 1 species